GUUGAAACACCUGUUCCAGUACGAUCAGUGAAGUUAAGCAAUGUCGAGCCUGGUUAGUACCUAGAUGAGUGAUAGGUUGAGAAUACCAGCUGCUGUAAG